rnacentral:misc_RNA from 1 species
CGCACAUUGCACCCCUUGGUAUUCCGGGGGGUAUGCCUGUUCGAGCGUCAUUAUAACCCUUUCCAGCCCAGCUGGGUCUUGGGCUCCGCUGCUCAGCGGGCCUUAAAAUCAGUGGCGGUGCUCUGGGGCUCUACGCAUAGUGAAUUUUUUCUUGCGCGAGAACCCAAGAGACGCUAGCCAGUAAUCUACUCCAAUUUCAAGGUUGACCUCGGAUCAGGUAGGGAUACCCGCUGAACUUAA